GGUCAGUUGCAUGAAUAGGCAGGUGUAGGUGUUGCCAGUAAAGUGCUCGUUGAAUAUAUGUUUUUAAUCAAAGGCAAGUUAUGCUGACAGCUGUUUUUCUGCAGUUGAAAGGCAGUAACCUUCAACUACUCUGCUCCUCUUGAGUCUCUCUGAAAGAAACAUGAGUCUACACACUGUCUUCAACAUAAAGUACAAUCGCUGGAGUUGACUGACUGCACCGUCACAGAAAGUGUCCAAAGUUUUGGGUGUGCCGCUGACGACUCCUUGAAGUCUCCAUGUGGGCUGUCCCCCCGUGCACGAUCCCUACUGGUGUCUGAACAGUUGGAGGACCCACUUCUCUACCGGCUGAGGAAACCAUUUGCUGUAAUUCAUUCUUGAGGAGUACGAAGAACAACUACCAUAAAGUGAGACGAUCCACUUCAAUGCCACAAGGGUUUCAGUGCUCCAGUCUGUCAUCUGGUGAUGGGAGAAUCCUAGAUAACUCUUUUUACAGCCUAAACAAAAAGAAAA